rnacentral:rRNA from 1 species
AAAUUGAAGAGUUUGAUCAUGGCUCAGAUUGAACGCUGGCGGCAGGCCUAACACAUGCAAGUCGAACGGUAACAGGAAGCAGCUUGCUGCUUUGCUGACGAGUGGCGGACGGGUGAGUAAUGUCUGGGAAACUGCCUGAUGGAGGGGGAUAACUACUGGAAACGGUAGCUAAUACCGCAUAAUGUCGCAAGACCAAAGAGGGGGACCUUCGGGCCUCUUGCCAUCGGAUGUGCCCAGAUGGGAUUAGCUGGUAGGUGGGGUAAAGGCUCACCUAGGCGACGAUCCCUAGCUGGUCUGAGAGGAUGACCAGCCACACUGGAACUGAGACACGGUCCAGACUCCUACGGGAGGCAGCAGUGGGGAAUAUUGCACAAUGGGCGCAAGCCUGAUGCAGCCAUGCCGCGUGUAUGAAGAAGGCCUUCGGGUUGUAAAGUACUUUCAGCGGGGAGGAAGGGAGUAAAGUUAAUACCUUUGCUCAUUGACGUUACCCGCAGAAGAAGCACCGGCUAACUCCGUGCCAGCAGCCGCGGUAAUACGGAGGGUGCAAGCGUUAAUCGGAAUUACUGGGCGUAAAGCGCACGCAGGCGGUUUGUUAAGUCAGAUGUGAAAUCCCCGGGCUCAACCUGGGAACUGCAUCUGAUACUGGCAAGCUUGAGUCUCGUAGAGGGGGGUAGAAUUCCAGGUGUAGCGGUGAAAUGCGUAGAGAUCUGGAGGAAUACCGGUGGCGAAGGCGGCCCCCUGGACGAAGACUGACGCUCAGGUGCGAAAGCGUGGGGAGCAAACAGGAUUAGAUACCCUGGUAGUCCACGCCGUAAACGAUGUCGACUUGGAGGUUGUGCCCUUGAGGCGUGGCUUCCGGAGCUAACGCGUUAAGUCGACCGCCUGGGGAGUACGGCCGCAAGGUUAAAACUCAAAUGAAUUGACGGGGGCCCGCACAAGCGGUGGAGCAUGUGGUUUAAUUCGAUGCAACGCGAAGAACCUUACCUGGUCUUGACAUCCACGGAAGUUUUCAGAGAUGAGAAUGUGCCUUCGGGAACCGUGAGACAGGUGCUGCAUGGCUGUCGUCAGCUCGUGUUGUGAAAUGUUGGGUUAAGUCCCGCAACGAGCGCAACCCUUAUCCUUUGUUGCCAGCGGUCCGGCCGGGAACUCAAAGGAGACUGCCAGUGAUAAACUGGAGGAAGGUGGGGAUGACGUCAAGUCAUCAUGGCCCUUACGACCAGGGCUACACACGUGCUACAAUGGCGCAUACAAAGAGAAGCGACCUCGCGAGAGCAAGCGGACCUCAUAAAGUGCGUCGUAGUCCGGAUUGGAGUCUGCAACUCGACUCCAUGAAGUCGGAAUCGCUAGUAAUCGUGGAUCAGAAUGCCACGGUGAAUACGUUCCCGGGCCUUGUACACACCGCCCGUCACACCAUGGGAGUGGGUUGCAAAAGAAGUAGGUAGCUUAACCUUCGGGAGGGCGCUUACCACUUUGUGAUUCAUGACUGGGGUGAAGUCGUAACAAGGUAACCGUAGGGGAACCUGCGGUUGGAUCACCUCCUUA